rnacentral:ncRNA from 1 species
UCUCAAGCGUGAGGUAAGGGCAUCUGGUGAAUGCCUUGGCAUGUACAGGCGAUGAAGGACGUGGCACGCUGCGAUAAGCGUGGGGGAGCUGUGAGCAAGCUUUGAUCCCGCGAUUUCCGAAUGGGACAACCCACCUUCACCAUUUAAGACUGGUCCAGCAGCAAUGCUGGCCCCGUGUUAAAUGGGAAAGGUAUCACUAAGCUGAAUAAAAUAGGCUUUGGUGAGGCGAACCCGGAGAACUGAAACAUCUCAGUACCCGGAGGAAAAGACAUCAACCGAGAUUCCGUUAGUAGUGGCGAGCGAACGCGGACCAGGCCAGUGCCUGGUGCUUAGUUAACAGAAGUGUCUGGAAAGGCACGCCAUAGCGGGUGACAGCCCCGUAUGUGAAAGCAAAGCAUCAGGACUCGAGUAGGGCGGAGCACGUGAAACUCUGUCUGAACAUGGGGGGACCACCCUCCAAGCCUAAAUACUCGUACAUGACCGAUAGUGAACCAGUACCGUGAGGGAAAGGUGAAAAGCACCCCGAUGAGGGGAGUGAAACAGUACCUGAAACCGGAUGCCUACAAGCAGUGGGAGGAUCCUUGAGAUCUGACCGCGUACCUCUUGCAUAAUGGGUCUGUGACUUAGUGUAUCAAGCAAGCUUAAGCCGUUAGGUGUAGGCGCAGCGAAAAGCGAGUCUGAAUAGGGGCGAUAGAGUUUUGAUGCAUUUAGACCCCGAAACCCGGCGAUCUAUGCAUGACCAGGUUGAAGGUGCGGUAACACGCACUGGAGGACCGAACCGUUCAAUGUUGAAAAAAUUGUCGGAUGAGUUGUGCUUAGGGGUGAAAGGCCAAAUCAAGCCGGGAAAUAGCUGGUUCUCCGCGAAAAUCUAUUGAGGUAGAGCGUCGGAUGAUUGCCGUUGGGGGUAGAGCACUGGAUGGUUGCGGGGGUCGCGAGAUCUACCAACACUAACCAAACUCCGAAUACCAACGAGUCUAGUCCGGCAGACAGACGGCGGGUGCUAAGGUCCGUCGUCAAAAGGG